UAGGGAAUUUUGGACAAUGGGCGAAAGCCUGAUCCAGCAACGCCGCGUGCGCGAUGAAGGCCUUCGGGUUGUAAAGCGCUUUUAGAGGAGAUGAGAAAGGACAGUAUCCUCUGAAUAAGCCUCGGCGAACUACGUGCCAGCAGCCGCGGUAAAACGUAGGAGGCUAGCGUUAUCCGGAUUUAUUGGGCGUAAAGCGUGUGCAGGCGGUUUAGUAAGUUGGAUGUGAAAGCUCCUGGCUUAACUGGGAGAGGUCGUUCAAAACUGCUAGACUAGAGAAUGGGAGAGGGAGGUGGAAUUCCGGGUGUAGUGGUGAAAUGCGUAGAUAUCCGGAGGAACACCAGUGGCGAAAGCGGCCUCCUAGACCAUUUCUGACGCUAAGACACGAAAGCUAGGGUAGCAAACGG
rnacentral:rRNA from 1 species